CUCGCAUCUGUGUGUUUAGGAGACUUCCUCACUGUUUCAGGAAGCAGCAAUUAUUACUGUUGUGGGAACAACCUCAACAGUUUGGCAGAAAAGCUGGAAGAGAGAACUUUCAGAAACCGCAGAUUUUUUUAAAUAGAUGUUUCUGCCUAUACAGAUGGUACAAACUUGCAUACAUCAAGAUCAAGGUGUCUAAGUCAGCAGUAUUGCAUCAGUGGAAAAGGAAUAACCUGAGAAGCUCAGUCAUCUGUUCCUGAUUUGGUCAAGCCAGUCUUCUGAUACGUAUACUCACUUUCCUGAGUCCUGGCAUGGACAACUCUUUACUCCUUAAGAACAACAUUUUCUGAGUCAGUCAGCUCUCUGGAGCUCCUUUGCCCUUCAGUGCUGCCUUCUACAGGAUGCCACCUACCAGCUCCCUGAAUAAGCCAAAGUCUGCUCUUCUGAAGCCCAGGGUCUCUCCCCUGUUCUUUUCUUACCUCACCCCCCAUCAGGAACGAGAGACAAGGCUGCAAUAGAUCCCACCAACAAACUACAUCAUCUCAGAUCAUAGCAUGCAAAGGCCUGAGGUACUCGGUCCUACAACACACGUAGUGGAAAUCACUCCUGUAAAGCUGAAGACCCAGGACUCUGAAUGCUUGCAGAGGAAAGUUCACUGUGCAGCAGAAAAUGUGUUUAUUUUGUUUUCCUUCCUAAAAAAUUUAAUAAAUGGCAAAGGUUGU